rnacentral:rRNA from 1 species
AACCUGGUUGAUCCUGCCAGUAGUCAUAUGCUUGUCUUAAAGAUUAAGCCAUGCAUGUCUAAGUAUAAAUAGUAUACAGUGAAAUUGCGAAUGGCUCAUUAAAACAGUUAUAGUUUAUUUGAUAAUUGAAUUCUACAUGGAUAACCGUGGUAAUUCUAGAGCUAAUACAUGCUGUCAAACCUGACUUUUCGGAAAGGUUGUAUUUAUUAGAUACUAAACCAGUAUUCCUUCGGGUCUAUUGUGAUGAUUCAUAAUAACUGAUCGGAGCUCGGCUAGGCCAAGCUAAAUCAUUCAAGUUUCUGCCCUAUCAGCUUUCGAUGGUAGUGUAUUGGACUACCAUGGCUAUCACGGGUAACGAGGAAUUAGGGUUCGAUUUCGGAGAGGGAGCCUGAGAAACGGCUACCACAUCUAAGGAAGGCAGCAGGCGCGUAAAUUACCCAAUCCUGACUCAGGGAGGUAGUGACAAGAAAUAACAACUCGGGGGCGCAAGCCUUACGAGAUUGCAAUGGGUACAAUCCAAUCACUUAACGA